rnacentral:rRNA from 1 species
UACGGAGGGUGCAAGCGUUUAUCCGGAUUUACUGGGUUUAAAGGGUGCGUAGGUGGGUAGGAAAGUCAGUGGUGAAAUCUUCGGGCUUAACCCGGAAACUGCCAUUGAUACUAUUUAUCUUGAAUACUUUGGAGGUAAGCGGAAUAUGUCAUGUAGCGGUGAAAUGCUUAGAUAUGACAUAGAACACCAAAUUGCGAAGGCAGCUUACUACAACAGUUAUUGACACUGAGGCACGAAAGCGUGGGGAUCAAACAGGG